rnacentral:lncRNA from 1 species
AAGUGGGGGACACAACCGGGGACACAACUGGGGACACAACCGGGGACACAACCGGGGACACAACUGGGGACACAACCGGGGACACAACCGGAGAUACAACUGGAGACACAACUGGGGAUACAACUGGGGACACAACCGGGGACACAACCGGGGACACAACCGGGGAUACAACCAAGGACACAACCGGGAAAACAGCCAAGGACACAACUGGGGUUACAACCGGGGACACAACUGGGACACAACUGGGGACACAACCAAAGACACAGCCGGGGACACAACUGGGGAUACAACCGGGGACACAACCGGGGACACAACCGGGAAAACAGCCAAGGACACAACUGGGGUUACAACCGGGGAUACAACCGGGGACACAACCAGAGACACAACCGGGGACACAACCGGAGACAGAAAUCUCAACCGGUGACAGGAGGGGACAGAGCCGGGCACGUGGCGAGGAACGCAACCACGGUGCCACAGCGCAACAACGGGGACAAAGCGGUGACACAACCGCGGGGACAACACCACCACCAGGGCCACAACAACCAGAGCAGAGACCCUGUUCUGUGCCUUUGCUUCGGCAUCUUUCGUGUGACACUCGGCAAUUUCCGGGAUCAUCCGCUCGUGCUUCGGCACCUUUCGAUAACUUCCGCCACUGUUUCGGCCAGUUCCGUCUCUUUCCGUCAGCGUUCGGGCACCUCCGUUUAACUUCGGUCAUUUCCGUCACCCUCCGGAGGCCCUUCGGUGAUCUCCGCCCACUUCCGGCAGUGCUUCGUUGA